UGGUCCGGGAUGACUAGCCCACUGCGCAAUCUGAGUUCUACGGAACCAUAUGGUAGAAACCGUGCUGCAUUGUAGUCUGAGACCG